rnacentral:rRNA from 1 species
UACGGGGGGGGCAAGCGUUGUUCGGAAUUACUGGGCGUAAAGGGCGCGCAGGCGGCUACAUUUGUCAGGCGUGAAAGCCCCGGGCUUAACCUGGGAACUGCGUUUGAUACGGUGUGGCUAGAGUUCGGGAGAGGAGAGUGGAAUUUACGGUGUAGCAGUGAAAUGCGUAGAUAUCGUAAGGAAGACCAGUGGCGAAGGCGAGUCUCUGGACAGCAACUGACGCUGAGGCACGAAGGCCAGGGGAGCAAACGGG